GCUGCCAGCUAAACGCGUGUGAAAGUUCUCACGAUGGGAAGACAGACCGCACCUUUUAAGCGCGGGCCGUGAGAAAAAGAUUUCUGGAAGGAAGGAAGCUCGGGGACUGGGGCACCGACACCAUGAAAUAUUGAUCUGACGUGGAGCAGUUAAAAAACACUUGCAGCAACAGCAGCAGCGAGCGGCCAUUAUGGAAACCACUCUAUCCCAUGGUUCAAGAGAGUGGGCCCAAAGAGGGAGGAAGUUCCAAGACCGGAGAGCAGAAGGAAGCCACUGAGAGGAGACCAUGCUGACCACAAUAGAUGAGGAGGUGCUGGAGCUCUGGACUAGGAGAGUUACCAGCAUCCCAAUUACCAGGCCUGCCAAAGGGUUUGAGAGCACUUCAUUCUCCUGGAAGAUGUCCCCUGCUGUUUUCCCUGAGAAAACACACAUCCUUGUUACGCAUAACAAGUUUAGCAUGUCCCAGGGAUCAUCCUCAAUCAGAGCCGCUGUGGAAAGAGCAGGGGCCAUGGACAGAGACUUCUUUCGGGGAACUAAGAGAACAUGUGAAGGAAAGAGGGAAACUUUUUAAAAUGGGGUUUGUUUAGAUUUUU